rnacentral:lncRNA from 1 species
GUUGUGCAAGCAGGCUCUGGAGACCCGCAGGCUCCUGGGCAGAGGGCUGCCUUCUGUGUGGGCUUGCCCCUCGCCACACCUGGCCAGGAGCCUCCCCCAGCCCCGUGACCCUUGUGUCAGAGCCUGGCCAGAUGACAGACGGCCUGGGGUGCAGGCGAGACCCACUGAACUGGCAGCUGAGGACAGGUCCAGGCCCAGUGGCUGGGGGACUUCUCAGAGCAGGUACCACAACAGCUACCCAAGGACUCAGGACUUUUCUCCCACAGCCAGACUUGGUGAUUGCAUGAAGGAGCCCAGCCUCGGAUGACCUUUCCCCGUGACAAGGCACUAGGAGAGCACAGACCUCCCCACACAAACACUGAGACACCCAACCUUGCGUGACCUUGAGCCAAACACAACUCUUAGGAUGUAACCUGCUUUACAAGAUGAGAAAGACACGAGUAAAAACAUCAGCAGACUCUGGAAGAGUCAGUAAACAAACAAGCUGUCCUUGGAGCAAGCAAGCGCUUCCCUUUCGGCAUCUCCCCCUCUCUGAGCGGCAGCCCUGCAAGUGAGGCCAAUAGCCGUCCCUCAGCUGUGUACAGGACAGGCAUUCUUGGACCUCAGAGUCCUGCAGUAGCAUUUUGAGGACGCCAAGUUAUUGAUGGGGACAGGUGCUCAUAAUUCAGCAUAACCCACCCAAGCCGUGUUUCACUUUUUCUGGAAACCUCUUGAUUUAGGAAUGAAAGCCCCUGGCUCCCCCUGGGCUGGGCUGGCCAGUAAACAUCUCAGUCUGAGUUUGCCGAGGUGGGUUGCUAAAUUUAAUUGCCAGUUUCCACACCAUGUGAUGGUGUGUGACAGGCCAGCUCACCCUGUGAGUUAGCCAAGGGGUUUUAAAUAAAUGCUUUCUGACGGAAAGGAUGAUAAAGGUUCCUAUUAUUCACCAGUGAGCCUGGAGACUGAGCUGGUCCGGUUUUUACGACUGAGGCACAGCAAUGUCAAUCUCAUGCUCUCUGUCACUACUUCCCACUGUGGCUUGACUAGGACAGCCUUAAGCGGCCUGCAGAAAGAGCUCCAGCCGGGUAGUCAGGAGACCUUUGCCAGCCCGAUCCGUCCAAGGUUUCUGUGACCUUGGAAGGCAAAUAGCUCUAUGGGCCAGCGUCAGCCUCUGCGUCUGCAGAGAGGAGUGCUUCACAGGUCAUGCUUGGGGCUUUCAGGAAGCAUGUAAUAGAUAUGCAAAGGCAUUGCUGUUGGUGAAACAUCCGUGGAACACCAGGCAACAAACCACUAAAAGCAGCAUUUUUCUUGCUCCGAUCCUUUAAAAUAUCGAUG